rnacentral:tRNA from 1 species
GGCAGUAUAGCUCAGUGGUAGAGGAUAUGCUCAGCAUGCACAAAGUCCUGGGUUCAAUCCCCAGUACCUCCA